rnacentral:tRNA from 1 species
CGGUGCCGUCGCCGGGCGGGCCGCGCCCGUGUCCGGAGCGGGUGUCGCCGUUCGGCUCGGCGGGCGGUGG